rnacentral:rRNA from 2 species
CCACCCUUUAAUGUUUGAUGUUCUAACGUGGACCCGUUACCCGGGUUGCGGACAGUGUCUGGUGGGUAGUUUGACUGGGGCGGUCUCCUCCUAAAGAGUAACGGAGGAGCACGAAGGUUGGCUAAUCCUGGUCGGACAUCAGGAGGUUAGUGCAAUGGCAUAAGCCAGCUUGACUGCGAGCGUGACGGCGCGAGCAGGUGCGAAAGCAGGUCAUAGUGAUCCGGUGGUUCUGAAUGGAAGGGCCAUCGCUCAACGGAUAAAAGGUACUCCGGGGAUAACAGGCUGAUACCGCCCAAGAGUUCAUAUCGACGGCGGUGUUUGGCACCUCGAUGUCGGCUCAUCACAUCCUGGGGCUGAAGUAGGUCCCAAGGGUAUGGCUGUUCGCCAUUUAAAGUGGUACGCGAGCUGGGUUUAGAACGUCGUGAGACAGUUCGGUCCCUAUCUGCCGUGGGCGCUGGAGAACUGAGGGGGGCUGCUCCUAGUACGAGAGGACCGGAGUGGACGCAUCACUGGUGUUCGGGUUGUCAUGCCAAUGGCACUGCCCGGUAGCUAAAUGCGGAAGAGAUAAGUGCUGAAAGCAUCUAAGCACGAAACUUGCCCCGA